rnacentral:rRNA from 1 species
GACGGAGGAUGCAAGCGUUAUCCGGAAUGAUUGGGCGUAAAGCGUCCGCAGGUGGCAGUUCAAGUCUGCUGUCAAAGACCGGGGCUUAACUUCGGAAAGGCAGUGGAAACUGAACAGCUAGAGUAUGGUAGGGGCAGAGGGAAUUCCUGGUGUAGCGGUGAAAUGCGCAGAUAUCAGGAGGAACACCAAUGGCGAAGGCAGCUCGCUGGGACGGUACUGACGCUGAGGCGCGAAAGCGUGGGGAGCAAACAGG